CCUACGGGAGGCAGCAGUGGGGAAUCUUGCGCAAUGGGCGAAAGCCUGACGCAGCCAUGCCGCGUGAAUGAUGAAGGUCUUAGGAUUGUAAAAUUCUUUCACCGGGGACGAUAAUGACGGUACCCGGAGAAGAAGCCCCGGCUAACUUCGUGCCAGCAGCCGCGGUAAUACGAAGGGGGCUAGCGUUGCUCGGAAUUACUGGGCGUAAAGGGAGCGUAGGCGGAUAGUUUAGUCAGAGGUGAAAGCCCAGGGCUCAACCUUGGAAUUGCCUUUGAUACUGGCUAUCUUGAGUGUGGGAGAGGUAUGUGGAACUCCGAGUGUAGAGGUGAAAUUCGUAGAUAUUCGGAAGAACACCAGUGGCGAAGGCGACAUACUGGCCCAUUACUGACGCUGAGGCUCGAAAGCGUGGGGAGCAAACAGGAUUAGAUACCCUGGCAGUCCACGCUGUAACGAUAGAGUGCGUGGUUGUCGGUCGAUGCAUGCAUGUCGGUGGUACGCGAGACUACGCAUUAAGUACGACGUCCGCCGUCGGGGAGGUACGGGUCGGUCGAGAAGUUAAACGUUACUAAAGUUAGUUAAGUUAGACGGCGUUGAGACGUUGCCGACGGACGACGACGAGGGGAGGAGG
rnacentral:rRNA from 1 species